rnacentral:misc_RNA from 1 species
CUCGGCAAAGUUAUUCCAGUCCCCGUCGGUUCCAUCUGUCAAACCUGCUGUUUCUGCGAAUGCAAAGUUUUUUAUUCCUACACCUCUGCCAUCAAGUGAAAGUUCAACAGAAACUGUAGCAGAAAACGUGCAAGAAAGCACUGGAUUUGCUGAAUAUCCUUCAACAUCUACUUAUGACUCUUCCCAAUCUCCCUCAUCUUUUUCAAAAAUGAAUAUGCAAAGAUUCCCAAGCAUGGAUAAUAUUACAAGAAGAGAGAGAACAGUAAAUGGCAAUGUCCCCAUACCAUCUCAAUCUCGACGAACUGCAUCAUGGAGUGGAAGCUUCAGUGAUUCCUUUAGCCCUCCCAAAAUGAUGGAAACUAAACCUUUAGGGGAGGCACUGGGCAUGCGUCCAUCAUCUUUCAUGCCUGGUGAUCCUUCUAUGACACGUAUGCCAAUGAAUGGUAGCAGUGUUGGAGAUGACCUUCAUGAGGUGGAACUUUAGGAGUAAGGAAGAUGUAAAUACCAAGUUUUGUCCCUUGUGAUCGAUACAAUACUUGGGAUGGGAGUCAUCGUGCACAUCUCGAAAAGCCACAAUGUUGGCAUCAGCAUCAAGAUUCAGAAAGUAAAAUAUGAUUUUCCCAAAAUUUUCCCAGUUAACUGCCUCCUCUUAAAUGUAAGUUGAAAUAUGGUUGGCAUAUAUUUUACUGCAAACUAAG